rnacentral:misc_RNA from 1 species
GGGGGUUAAGGGGGCCCU